GUGUAUGUACGCUUAUACGUGUGUGUGUGUGUAUAGAUGUGCUGGAAAAUACGGCCGCAUAAAGCGUGGAUACGUUCUAUUUGGCCCCGUCGCCUGCGCUGCGUGUCUGUGAUACAUCAGUAAUCGCCUGCAGGAGAGCAGCGUGGGGGGAGCAGUGGGAGCAGAGCCCUCCCCGCCCCCACAGAGCGAAGCACACGGCUGAGAGAAGACAAAUUUAAAAGUUUAUUAAACAUUGAGAAUAACAGACGAAAAGAAAAGAAGAUUUGGGCUGAACAGCAUACAGGAUGCAAUCCAUUUCAUGUCGUACAGGCACCGCUCCAAGAAUGCUCGCAGCGAUGCUGCUGAGGAACUGCUGCCAGCUGCUGCUAGGGAUGCACCCGUGGCAGUGGCUGCUCGGGGAGCUCCACCACCGCCACGCAGCGCCGAAGGGAAAGCAAACGUUUGCUUCCCAGAGCACAGAGCAGAUGAUGAAGGCUCAGCCGUGCCGACCGCUGCCUCCCGCUUCUCUCUUGGUGCACUCAGUGCCUUACUGACCUCCAGAAAAGAACUUACUGCUCUCCAAGCUUUGCUGCAGCGCACGGAAGUUCAGCUCACCGAGUUAGCGGUCCGCAGGCGAGCACUGCACGGUGAGGGACAUGCUGGGUCUGUCUGGGAUACAGUACUGGGAAAUGUCAGUGGUGCACGGAUUUUUGUGAUGCUGGACAAAAGGUUGGGUCCUUUGUAGCCAUCUCCUGAAGCGUGAAUCGGUAUUUCAUGGAAUGAACGACCUCUUCAUUUGAAAACAAUGCCAGAACACUCAGAAAACUGUGAGCAGGACAUGUAGCACCGUAUUUACUCACAUGUGAAUGACCAUAUGCACCACAUACAACCGUAUACAUGAACUGAGCUAUUUAUUAUAAAAGGUCACCUGGAAACAGAUUCGAGCAGCAGCAGCAGCAGAUGAGAAGUGACUGCGUUUGGGGUUUGCAUGCUGUUUUUUUGCCUUUAGAAAUUGCAUUGUCCAAUCAAUAGUUGCCUAAAAUCCAUAUUGUGCUUUGUCCCUACGAAACACAUCCGUCACGUGUUUCCAAUGGAAAAUAAUGAAGUCUCUCUUCUUCAGUAAUACCAAACAGCCUGGAAAGCCACACUACUUCCAUAACGAUUUAAUGUAAAGCACAGAACAUGCCAGUGUGCCAAUGGUAGGCUUAAAACAUGAGAGAUUCACAAAACAAAAACUAAAACCAACCAACAGCCUCCUAAGCAUUUCCUUUCUGUACAAUAAUGGAGAAUAUAUAUCUUUGCUAUAUAUUUUAAACAUGGAAUAGCUUUUUCUCUUUGUUAUAUAUAAUAUAUGUCUUUCAAAAUACACUGUCAGUAUUUGUACUUGAAAAAUACUGUACAAAACAAACAUACUAUAAUUAUUCUGUAUAAACUUUAUACAUUUUAUAAUAUCUGUUCUUUUGGUCUAUAGUAAACACUUAGAUUGAUUGGAUUAACCACAGUAUACGACAACACCAUCCCCCUCUGAAAUACACCAGUGUCUCUUACAUUCAUUUCUCAGAAGUCCACUUUAGAUUCGAACAUAAGUGUUCAAAAGCAAAGAGAGAGUUUAAAACAACAGAAUUCAGAACCAUCAGUUCAUGUCACACUCAGAACAACAACCACUAGGAGAAAUGGGCUUUGCAAACCAGUGACUUCUUCUAACUGAAUUAAAGUGAUUUUUAUAACAGCAAGAUAUAAUCCACAGAAAAUAUAUUACACAACGUGGG
ensembl:lncRNA